GUCUCAAAGUUUCCAAGAUAUACAAUAAGUUAUGUAUAUUACUCCACUAACAGCAUCCAUAUCAUCACAUACAGUUUACUUUGGACCAUAAAUCAGUAGCAGCCUGCAAAUAUAAUCUAUCUCAUGUUCUUUCAAAAUUUUCUUUUCUUUGUUUCUGUGACAUUACAUUCUUCUGGUGGAUCAAUAGCAGUAAUGCUUACCAAAUCUUCCAAGUACUUCACUACAUUUCCAAAACAUUUUCAGUUAUGCAUAUGAUUCUAGCCAAUUAAAUGUGGAAAGAAUAUGAGUCUCUUACAUGCUCAGUGAAAAAUCAUAUAAUAUCACUCUUUAUUAUUUUUUAAUAGAAAGUUGCAUGUUCCAAAUAGUGCAUCUAUGAGAUAUUUCAGCAUCUAUGAGUCUAGUCCCUGUGUGAUUUUAUAUUUCAUAAUCCCCACUGACCCUGCUGGGACAGAAACCAUGAGUGAAAAACAAGCUUUUGUAAUAUUGAACCCUGAAAUAUCAGAGCCCUUGGUUACAGAAACAUACCCUAGCCUAUCCUGAAUAGUAUACCUACCUUAAUAUUUUCUCAUUCUCAGUUUUCAUCCUGGCUCUGAUGCCUUUGCCUGACUUUAAAUACAUCACAUUACCAUAUUAAAGCAGUCUAUUUUCUUUGAACACUUACUAUUGCUUAUCUAUUUGUUUGUUUGAGUGAUUCUUUAACCCCUCACUAGAAUGUAAACUUCCUAAGAGUUUGAAAUGUAUUUGCAUUGUUUACCACUGUUAUCACUAACCUUAGAUUAUUGCCUG
rnacentral:lncRNA from 1 species